rnacentral:lncRNA from 1 species
CUGGUCGUCCAGCCACUUCAAACACUCGUUCUCACCGGAUCCCAUCUCCGACUCCCUCUUUAUCAGCGGUCCGACCGGGUAGACCGGCGGUUUACCCGGUUCGGGUGUCUGCAGAGCCUUGAGCGGUCCAGGCUCCAACUCCAUGAAGCUAUUCACCAUUAUCCCUUCAGCCAGUCGAUAUCUCUUGGUGUGGUGUAGAACCCACUUGUAAGCGUCGUUCCUCCUAUCCUGAACCGGGUCGAGCAGCUGCGAGCCGUGGACCGGCACGCAACCAGGAAUCGCCACCGGUUCAUUCAUGUCCCGAAAUUCGCACGCCACCAUCUCAUCCAGCUUCGGCAGGAACAGAAACAGCGAGAGAGCCAUCGCCGUCGACGGGAAGAAAAUGUACGGCGCCACCCCGAACUCCACCGCGACGUCGAACGCGUCGGUUCCGAAGAGAUCGACGACGAGCGCCGCCACUCGGGUCUUCGAAACCAGCAACUCCAGCGAGCUCCGGAGAUGGGAAAGUGACCGAACCACAGUGAGAGAAAUCAUAGUCUCGAUCUUCGUCUCCGCCGGCAAGUCGUCAAAACUAACCGGAGGAAGAAAAAUGGAGUCUAUGCUGGGAGGGAGGCUCUGGAGCACGGCCUUUUGGGCUUUGAGAGAAGAAUUAUCGUUGGGGAUGAUGAAAGUGACUGUGAAUCCAUGGUGGGUGACGAGGCGUUUGGCUAGUUCAAUGAGAGGGAUGAGGUGACCCAUGCCAGGGGUCGGGAGAAUGGCUAUGUGGGGAGGUUUUUCAGCCAUUGAAGAUGGAAAAAAGAAGAAGAAAUACCAGAAAAGCUGGGUGGAGAAAUGAUUGAAAAGGGGAGCUGGAGUAGGAGGAGAGGAAGUGGGUACGGUGUAUAUAUAUAGUCGUUGGUCCUUUUUGGGGGAUUGUGCUGGUUAUGCAUGUGAGGCUCACAGUGUAAGGGUUUGUUUGGUUUUCCUCGUUGGAGGGCUGUGGAGGAAAGGAGUGUGGAACUUGAUUUUUGCCUUAUUUUAUUUUAUUAAUAUUAUUAUUGGAUUUUUUUUUCCUGAUAUGGACAGAUCUGAAUAUAUGACGUCAUCGAAGCGUAAGGCUUAUGUUAUCACCUCAUCUCAUCAUUGAGGCUUCAUUCACCUAUUUUCUUUAUUUAAAGAAAUAUGAUCUGGCUUUUUUAGGCUAAGGGUUAGUUCCUAAAUGGGCAAAAAGAAAAAAGAACCGUUACUUUUAUUUUUUAUUUUAAGAAAAAAAUGGUUAAAUAUUAAUUUUUUUUUCAUAUUUAAUUUGUUUUAAAAUAUAAAAAAUCAAAUCAAAUAUAGUUAAAACCUGUUAUCUAUAUCUUAUAAUAUGUAUCCACUGUAUUUUUAUAAUAUGUAUUUUUUUUCCUUUUUUUUUUGUUUAAAUUUAUAUUCAAUGUUGAAUAAUUACUUCUGGACUGGGGAUUUUUUUAUUAUUUUUUAUUUUUUUAUUUUUUAUUGUCUCUUUCAAGGGUAAUGACCUGCACCAAAGACUUCCAGAAACCCAACAACUCAGUGACAGUGAGUUUUCACUUUGCACUAAUUCUCAGCUUAUCAUACGCCAUUCUGCCAAUUUUCUCAGCGGUCAAACACCCCAUUUCCACUAUCUAUGAUGAUAUUCCUUUUCCCACUUCCCAAUUUGUCAAAAGCCUGGAAAUUUCGAUUUUGCUGGAAAUCAUUUUCUUCCAUGGUUUUCUGCUGCCCUGCCCGCCCCCAUCUAAUGUGCAUUUUUGACUUUGAUAAUCCAAUUAUAAAAAUAAUUCCAGCACCAAAAGAGAAUAUUAUCUGUAUUUUUUUUUCCCAAAAUAGAAAAAUCAAUUUAUAAUUUUUUCUAAAUUAUUUUUAAAAAAAUCCAUAAUUUCUACAUAAUAUAAUCACUCCAUUUCUAAAAUUUUAAAUACAAUUUAAGAAAAUAAAUAAAUUAGAAAAUUUUCCAAAAUUUUACCUUAUAAAAAUAAAAAUAAAUAAAUUCCAAAAAAAAAAUCUAAUAAAAAUUAUUAAUUUAAACUUAUUAUUUUCUUCAAAGUUUUAACCUUUGUCUGGAAUUUUCCAUUUUGAUAUUCCACCACCAUCUUCAAUGCUGUCAGCAUUCUAGAAAGAAAAGUGGGUCACGCGACUCACACCCCACAAGCAGCAGCAACCCCAUGCAUAUGGAAUAAAAAAAAAUGGAUUAUUCUCUUCUGAUUGAAUAUCCAAACGCGCUCUAAGAGUUGACAGCAUGCCUUUGAUCUUUUGUACUAGAAAAAAAAUGGUUGGAAUAAAUAUCCAAAUAUAAGUUCUAGUCCAUGCACAAUAAUGGUAAGAAAAAAGGAAAAGAAAAAGAUGAUGAACAUGAUGAAUAAUGAUGCUAUGAUGAUGAAAUCAUGAGGUAAGAAAUUUUUAGAUGUACAAUUAUCUCUUUGUGGGGACUAACCCUCAAUAAUCGAGGAUUUGAUGUUUUACUUUUACCCCUCAAUAAAAAUAAAAAUCAUAUUAAAUACGAUAAAAAUAAUAAAAUAAAAUAAAAUAUGAUGAUAAUCAAUGAUGUUGAUAAUCAUUUUAAUGAUUAAGAUCAAAUAUUAUUAAAAAACAUGAUACCGGAACCCAAAUUCUAUAAGUUUAAAACUUAAAAUUGAUAGUUGAAUAUGAUAUAAAGUUUGGUUUACAAGGAAGUUAAUAUAAUUCCAAAUUCUGUCUCUAUUGAAUAUGAAUUCAAAUUAUGUGUAAUUCAAAUCUUAUCGAUUUAGAUUUUUAAAAAAUUAGUAUAUGGACAUCGUAUUUUUCACGAUGCGUUCUCACUCAAUGAUACAACUCAUUUUUUUAUUUAUUUGGUGAAAAUAUGAUUUUUAGAAAAAGACUUGGAGUCGUAACUUAUUUUCGUUUUAUUUUUAGAGAAAAAACAAAAUAAGAAAGAAAAUCCUAAGUCUAACUCUUUAUUUGGAAAAUGCGAUUCGUGAAAAACCAAACUUGGGUUUAGGGGUCAUAUUUAUUAGGAAGGUACUGUAAAGACCAUAACAUCUCUCUAAGCCUUUAAAAACGAGUCUCUAUUAAAUAAAAUGAAACAAGUGUAACAAUUGAUAAAAAAAUUAAUAAAUACCAAAAUGAUCACAUAUCAAAAGCAACUCAUGAUAACAAAUAAAUAAACAAAGUGAGAAUGAGAACAUACCUUGACAGCAGGUAAUAAAGCGUUAUCAUAAAACAAUAUUAGUAUACAUUGAUAAGUGUAAAAUAUUUCACACAAAACCAAUCAAAAUCAAACAAUAUCAACCAUACAAUUUACCUGAAUUAUUUUCGAAAUAAAUGUUACGACUGUUGGCCCCACUAUUGUUAUGAAUUAAUUCUCAUAAAUUCCAUUAUUUUGGAAUUAUAAAAACUUAAUCAUUAAAAAAAAUUGAAAAUGAGAGUUUUGAAAACUAAAUUCAAAAAUUGGAAUUUUGGAAAAUUUAUUUGAAUAUGGCAUUUAAAAAAUAAAUAAAUUUGGAAAUUGGAAUUUCGGAAAAUUUAUUGGAAGAUGACAUUUUAAAAAUUAAAUUUGGAAAUUGGAAUUUUUGGAAAAUUUAUUUGCAUAUGGCAUUUUAUAAAUUAAAUUUGGAAAUUUGAAUAUUUGGAAAAUUUAUUUGAAGAUGGAAUUUUAUAAAUUAAAUUUGGAAAUGAAAUUUUUGGAAAAUUUAUUUGAAUAUGGUAUUUUAAAAAUUAAAUUUGAAAAUUGAAAUUUUUGGAAAAUUUAUUUGAAGAUGGUAUUUUAAAAAUUAAAUUUGGAAUUUUGAAAUUUUUGGAAAAUUUAUUCGAAGAUGGCAUUUUUUAACAAAAAUUAAUUUUGGAAUUUUGGAAAAUUAUUUCGAGAAUGAAAUUUUGGAAAAUUAUUUAAAAAUUGAAGUGAAAAAAAAAAUUAUUUGAAAGUUUGGAAUUUUGAAAAUUAUUUUAAAAAAAUAAUUUGUGAAAACGUGUGAGCAUAAAGGAUCAAAAAGGAAUAUGGGCAUGUAUGCUCCAAGGAUGGCCACCAAAUGUUAAUUGUGUAUGCAGAAGCUUAAGAUUUUUAUAACAGGUUAUAUAUAAUAAAAAAUACACUUUGUUGACUUCUUUUUGCUUGUUUCAGCCCUUGGUCCUUCAAUUGCAUGAAUAACCUCAAUGAACUCUCAACUUGCCCAUUCCGAGAUAAUCCAAAAAUGAAAGCAUUGCAAUAUCCUACAUCCAUGUGAUCCAUUUGAUCAAACACUUGUGACAUCUCAGAUGUGCAAGAACGCUUCCCGUACAUAUCAACAAGUGCGCUACUGACGCAUUUAUCUGACACAAGACCUUGCUUUAUCACAUAACCAUGAAUUAGUAUCCCAUAACCAAAUCCUCCUAAUCUCUAACAACCAAGGAUGAAAAUAUCGGUAAUCACGGAUAUAUCGGUAUUUCGAUUUUACGGAUAUAUCGGAGAUAUAUCAACAAAUAUUUUGAAAAAAAAUAUCGGUAAGCUUAAAAUUGUUAAAAACUCAUGAAAAUGUAAGGAAAACCUCAUAAUAAUAUAAUUAGAAGUAUAAUAGACAUUUUAAAGUUAUUUUAUUAAAAAUUUUGAUAUAUAUAUAACAUGAUUUAUCAUAUUUGAUAAUAAUAUCGUAUGCAUCGAUAAAAAUGUGAAUUUUAUAAAUGUACAUUUAUUAUUAAAUUACACCUAAUAUUAUGAUAUUUGAUUAUAAUAUGUCUAAUUUUAAAAUAUAUAUUAAUAUUAAAAUAUGAUCCAUUUAAUUCAAUUGUAUUAAACAAUAUAAAAUAAAUUAUGAUAUAUAUAUUCACCACCCUUAUUUAUGCAUUCUCAAAGUUUCAUCAAUUUCAUCACACACUUGCUACUUUCUCUCAGAUGCUCACCCGAGGCCUCAAGCCUAACAAUCGUGCCUUCCCUAGUGUUGCUAAGGCCUGUGUUGGACUAUCUGCCCUGAAGCCUGGCCGACAGGUUCAUGGCAUUGCCACGAAUCCUAAUUCCCUUAAGAGGUAUAUUGAAAGUCUAUUAUUAGUCCUAGAGUAAGGCACUCUAUUUAGAGAGUAGGACAAGAUGAGUAAAAGGUAGAGGCAUAGCAGUUCACAUGUAUAUUAAAUGCAUGUGGUUAGUUAGAGUGCUUUGGUUGCGACUUUUAAGAGGUUUUGAACCUGAAAGGUAUCGACACACGCAGGUCAACGAAAGUCAGGGGAUCGCUUACCAUCUGGGCUAACUUGCCCUUUGAUAUAUUAUGUGCAAUAAAUUUAUAUAUACUUAAAUUCAUUAUAUAAAGAAAAUAUUAAAAGAAAUAUAAUUUUUAUAUUUUUGGUAAUUAAUUAAAAGAUUUUGCAUUUAAUUAUAAAAUAAUUAUAAUUAAUUUGCUCUUUAAAAUAUUCUUUUAAUAUUUUUUUUAUAUAAUGAAUUUAAGUAUAUAUAAAUUUAUUGCACAUAAUAUAUCAAAGGGCAAGUUAGCCCAUAUGGUAAGUGGGUGAACCCAAACCAAAAGGUUUGGGGUUCAAAUCCCCUGACUUUCGUUGACCCUUGUGUCGAUACCCUUCAGGUUCAAAACCUCUUAAAAGCCGCAACCAAAGCACUCUAACUAACCAUAUGCAUUUAAUAUACAUGUGAACCAAAGAAGAUUGAACAAAAUAAUCUGAAUCAAACCCAGCUACUGCUACGCCUCUACCUUUUACUCAUCUUGUCCUACUAUGUCUUACUCUAGGACUAAUAAUAGACUUUCAAUAUACCUCUUAAGGGAAUUAGGAUUCGUGGCAAUGCCAUGAACCUGUCGGCUAGGGAAGGCACAAUUGUUAGGCUUGAGGCCUCGGGUGAGCAUCCGAGAGAAAGUAGCAAGUGUGUGAUGAAAUUGAUGAAACUUUGAGAAUGCAUAAAUAAGGGUGGAGAAAGAGAAGACAUUGGGCUUAGGAACCAAAUCAAGAACAAGAGUUGCAUCCGCAAAGCACAUGUUAAUAGCAUAAUGCGAUAGAAAUUUGGUGGCGAGAUGGGUAUCGUUGAAGAGUCUAGUCUUGAGGAUGUGGGCAUGAGCUUGACGUGUUUCAACAUUGAGGAUGAGAGGGAGCUCUUGAUCAACCUUCCCCUUGGGAUGCAUUGUAUGGUUCACUUCCUCAGCACCAAAUGCAUUUUAAAUGGAGAUAAAAACAUGAUUAGGCAUCUCAAAGGAGAACCAAAACAGAGCCGAAGAAAGAGGGCCAAAACUAGACAUAAAAUACAGUAAAAGUAAAAAAAAAAAAUCGCAGAUUCCACAAACAGGCACAACAUAUAGUGUCCACAAUCGAGCAUCAAAAUGAACUCAAAAUCAAUAGGAGGUAGGACAUAACAAUGUGAAGUAGAGAAAUAUGGAGCAUGUUGUAAUCAUACCUGGACAAAACCGGUGAGCCCCUCCUCUACUUCUUCUUCAGUUCCAAAUUUCCUUACUCCAGCUCCUUCCCCUUACAACUCUUUUUUUCUCUCAAAACCUUCGAAAAAUCUCCCACCUGUGAACAACCUUCUUCUUCUCUCGCUUGCUCUUUUUUUUUUUUUUUUGUUUAUCCGCCUCUCCUAGCUUCCUUUGCGAGCUUCUAACGGCUCCAUUACUGACCCUUUAACAAGUCCCCAUUUUCAACCACCACUAUGGCAAGGUGGGCAUAUGUCCCAUGCAACUCGUUUUCUAGAAAUCGUCCCCCACUCCAAAACGAAAUGAUGUCCAAUUCCUCCCGGGUGCUCCUUAAAGGUGGCAGGAAAAAUUAAAAUAAAAAACUAUUAAAAUGUAAUAAAACAAUGAUAAUAAAUAAAUAAAUAAAUAAAUAAUCCAAUGAUCUAAAAAAAAGGGGAGUCCACAUAGUAGUUCGAUAAAUAUUAUUUAUCACAAAAAACGUGGUUUCGAUGAAAAAUAAAUUAAUAAUAAUUUAUUUUUGUCUUAUUAAUGUCAAAAGCAUGUGAAGUCGUAGCGCCAAUUUCCACAAGACAAGAUAAUAUUGAGUUGUCUUAUUGAUUGGAUGCUACCAUGCUACAAAAUAUUUUAGACAAUUAAUAAUUUUUUUUUCUUUUAUCAAAUAAAGUCUACGACCCUUUAUGGAGUCCACGUAUAAGAGCAUAACUUGUAAUAAAGUGCUUAAAAAAUGUUGGAAAAAAAAUAUUUUUAAUUGUUUUUAUUAUUUUAUUUUCAAAAACAUCUCUCCGUAUCAUGCCAUAUCUUAACUAAAUCCAAAAAAGUAAUAAUAAUAUUAAUGUAGGUGUUUAAUCUAGGUUAUAUGGUCCCCGCGUUUAUUCCGUUUUAGACCUACGCGGAAAAUAAUUUUGGGUUGGGCCCCAUUAUUGGGUUGUCCUCAGAAGAGUUGUACUGAGUUUGGGGUGUAGGGGUCUUAGGGUGUCAAAAUUUUUAAUUUUUUUUUAAAUAUUUUAUUUUGGAAAAUAUUUGUAUUUUUCAGAUCUUGACUAAAUCGAAUGGCUAUAAUUUUUUAGAUUAAUAAAUUUGUCACAUUAUGAAUAGAUAAUUAAUAUGAGUAAGUUAAUUGUUGGACCAACUACUUUUAAUAAUUAAAUUUGCCCAUAAUUACUAUUGGUGUGGGAGUUAGAAAAUAAGUUGAAAUGACAAGAAUAAUAAUUUAUUUUGGAAUAAAAAAAGGUAAAAAGCAAAAAUCAACUACAUAGUUUUGUGAUAGUCGUAAACCUAAAGGCAAAGAAUCAAAUCCUUAUUAAUGAAGAUUUGUUUUCCAAAAUCUCGAGGGGUUCAUUUACUCCCAUAAGCCUUAUGUGAGUUCACUCUAGUCACUGACGGUGUUAUUUUUAUUUACGAUCAAAUUAAAUUUUGAAUGAAAGAAGAAAAGCUAGAAGAAGAGUUGUUUUCUCAAAUCUAAUAAGUUAUAGCCCUUUUGGAAGUGAUUUUGAGAGAGAAAUAUUUUUCUAAUGUUUUGAAGUUUUUUCUUGUGAAAAUUAAAGUGCGUUUGACAGUGAUCGUAUGAAGUGUUUCUAAUAUUUUUAAUACUUAAAGUAUGAAAAUUUUCAAAUGUUAUAAAGAUUAAAAAUACUUCAUAAAAUCACAAUCAAACGCACUCUUAAAUAUGUAAUAAAUUUUUUAAUAUCAUUUUUAUAAUUAUGAAGAAUCACUUGAAAUGAUUCUUUAAAAAUCACUUAUCAAGUGAUUUAUUUCAAAAGUACUUUUGAAAAACACUCCAAACUAAAAAUACUUUAGUUAAAAUCAUUUAGACUAUUAAAAUAAAGGUUAAUUUCAUUUACAAUAAGAGUACGUUUGGUGGUCUUUUUCUUGAAAGUGUUUUUUAAAAUGUUUUUAAAAGAAUCAUCUAUCAAAUGUUUCUCCAAAAAAUAGUACAAAUGUUUUUCAACUUUUUAAAAAUGUUUCCUAAUUUCUACCAAAUGUAUAAGUUUACCUCAAAAAUACUUUCUAAAAGUGUUUUUGUCAAUCAAAAGCCACCAUUAAUUUCAAAUUUUGUUAGUUACUCCUAUAAAUGUGUUUCGUACAUAAUUUUUUUUUUUAAUUAUUAAAUACAUCUACUUAAAUUUUUUUCAUUUAAAAUAUUUCUAAAAUUAAUUUUAUAAAUUUAUAUGAGUGUUAAUCCACGAAAUUUGAAUGAUUGGAUGUAUUUACAUCAAACAUUAGGGUUUAAGUAAAUUUAAGCCCUCAAACUGGGCUAAACCUGUACUGGGCCUAAGCAUAUAGGCCAGGAAGAAAGGAGUAAAGGUUUGGGCACAACUCGAACUGCUAACCCAGGCCCUGGCCCAAAACACUUCCAAUUAAUACCCGCCUAGGUUCUGAUCCAGGCUGUAAUUUAAGUUGGUGAUUCAACAGCAAGUAUACUAUUUCGUCCCAAAUUCUAGAAUUUGAUGACUGCUUCAUUAAUUGAAUUACUAGUUGGGUCCACUCAACUCACCUGCUACAAUUCAAUAAAAUAUACAUAUAAUUUAAAACAGCAAGAAGAUAUACAAACAAAACCUAAUGUAUAGGUACCUAAAAAAUCAGGACAUAUAAAUAGAAUUACACAAGGAAAAAAAAAAAAUUUUCUAAUAAUUUUUGUGAGCCUUCCAUUUUUGAGCCACGGUUGCGAGUGCCUUUGUAGAAGACCCAUCAGGGCUCAAAACUUUUGCGGCGGCGUCCUUAAGGUCCUUCAUUCGACUGCGUACAUCCUUUCCUUCUUCCUCUUCCAUCAGACCCUUAACAAUUUGGGCAAUUUCAUUACGAUCGAUUAGACCAUUUUCGUUAACUUUUGGCCUCAAUGCCACUUUUAAGCCGUUGGUUAAUGUUAUUGCGUUCAUUUUUUGCUCGGCGUAGAGCGGCCAAGCGAUCAUGGGGACACCGCAGGCAACGCUCUCGAGAGUGGAGUUCCACCCGCAAUGUGACAAGAACCCUCCGGUGGAUGCGUGGCUAAGAAUUUGAGCCUGUGGUGCCCAGGAUGACACCAAGAGGCCCCGCCCUUUGGUUCUAUCUACAAACCCUUGAGGUAAGAAAGAGAAAGGGUCAUCUUGAGAAUGGACACUGAAGAAUGGAGAAGCAGCCACACGACUAGGGCUCCUCACUACCCACAAAAAUCUUUGCUCACUCAUCUCUAAGCCCAAGGCCAGCUCAUUUAAUUGCUCACUGGGAAGGGUCCCACCGCUCCCAAAAGCGACGAAUAGGACGGAGCCAAGUGGCUGGUCGUCCAGCCACUUCAAACACUCGUUCUCACCGGAUCCCACCUCCGGCUCCCUCCUUGUCAGCGGUCCGACCGGGUAGACCGGCGGUUUACCCGGUUCGAGUGUCUGCAGAGCCUUGAGCGGUCCAGGCUCCAACUCCAUGAAGCUAUUCACCAUUAUCCCUUCAGCCAGUCGAUAUCUCUUGGUGUGGUUUAGAACACACUUGUAAGCGUCGCUCCUCCUAUCCUGAACUGGGUCGAGCAGCUCCGAGCCGUGGACCUGCACGCAACCAGGAAUCGCCACCGGUUCAUUCAUGUCCCGAAAUUCGCACGCCACCAUCUCAUCCAGCUUCGGCAGGAACAGAAACAGCGAGAGAGCCAUCGCCGUCGAAGUGAAGAAAAUGUACGGCGCCACCCCGAACUCCGCCGCGACGUCGAACGCGUCGGUUCCGAAGAGAUCGACGACGAGCGCCACCACUCGAGUCUUCGAAACCAGCAACUCCAGCGAGCUCCGGAGAUGGGAAAGUGACCGAAGCACAGUGAGAGAAAUCAUAGUCUCGAUCUUCGUAUCCGCCGGCAAGUCGUCAAAACUAACCGGAGGAAGAAAAAUGGAGUCUAUGCUGGGAGGGAGGCUCUGGAGCACGGCCUUUGGGGCUUUGAGAAAAGAAUUUUCGUUGGCGAUGAUGAAAGUGACUGUGAAUCCAUGGUGGGUGACGAGGCGUUUGGCUAGUUCAAUGAGAGGGAUGAGGUGACCCAUGCCAGGGGUCGGGACAAUGGCUAUGUGGGGAGGUUUUUCAGCCAUUGAAGAUGGAAAAAAGAAGAAGAAAAACCAGAAAAGCUGGGUGGAGAAAUGAUUGAAAAGGAGAGCUGGAGUAGGAGAGGAAGUGGGUAGCGGUGAUAAUGUAGUCGUUGGUCCUUUUUGGGGGAUUUUGGGG